rnacentral:rRNA from 1 species
UACGUAGGAGGCGAGCGUUGUCCGGAUUCAUUGGGCGUAAAGAGCACGCAGGCGGUUUGGCAAGUCGGAUGUGAAAACGACCGCUACACAUCGUCGGCUGCAUCCGAAACUGCCCGACUAGAGGUAGGUAGGGGAGAUCGGAAUUCCUGGUGUAGCGGUGAAAUGCGCAGAUAUCAGGAGGAACACCAAUUGCGAAGGCAGCUCGCUGGGACGUAACUGACGCUGAGACGCGAAAGCGUGGGGAGCAAACAGG